rnacentral:rRNA from 1 species
AUCCAGACUCCUACGGGAGGCAGCAGUGGGGAAUAUUGCACAAUGGGGGAAACCCUGAUGCAGCGACGCCGCGUGAGUGAAGAAGUAAUUCGUUAUGUAAAGCUCUAUCAGCAGGGAGGAAAAUGACGGUACCUGAGUAAGAAGCCCCGGCUAACUACGUGCCAGCAGCCGCGGUAGUACGGAGGAUGCGAGCGUUAUCCGGAUUUAUUGGGUUUAAAGGGUGCGUAGGCGGACGCUUAAGUCAGGGGUAAAAUUGCGGGGCUCAACCUCGUCGAGCCGUUGAAACUGGGUGCCUUGAGUGGGCGAGAAGUACGCGGAAUGCGUGGUGUAGCGGUGAAAUGCAUAGAUAUCACGCAGAACUCCGAUUGCGAAGGCAGCGUACCGGCGCCCAACUGACGCUGAAGCACGAAGGCGUGGGUAUCGAACAGGAUUAGAUACCCCAGUAUG